UUACGGUCAUGUCACGCUGAAACACCGCAUCUCCUAUGGUCACCGAAGAUAAAUAAGGUCGAGCCUGCCCAGUACCUAGAUGGGUGACCGCUUGGGAAUACCACGUGCUGUAAG